rnacentral:SRP_RNA from 1 species
UGCGCCGGGAGUCGCAUUCGCCAACCCGGACAGGUCCGGAAGGAAGCAGCCGCAACGAUUUCGCCGCGGUCGUUCCGGCUCCCAC